UGGAUAGAAGGCAGAUGAAACAGGAGACAAGGGGUCCUAACUGUUGCGGUUGCUGCUUCCUUCAGAUGGUAUCACAGAACAGAAAUGAAUCAACUACCAUGAUCAAUUCACAACAAGUAAAUCGCAA